rnacentral:tRNA from 1 species
GCGGAUGUAGCUCAAUUGGCAGAGCACCAGAUUGUGGCUCUGGGGGUUGUGGGUUCGAGCCCCAUCAUUCGCCCCA